UACGUAGGCAGCAAGCGUUGUUCGGAGUUACUGGGCGUAAAGGGUGCGUAGGCGGUCCUAUAAGUAUGGUGUGAAAUCUCCCGGCUUAACUGGGAGGGUGCGCUAUAAACUGUGGGACUAGAGUGUGGGAGAGGAAAGUGGAAUUCCUGGUGUAGCGGUGAAAUGCGUAGAUAUCAGGAGGAACACCGGUGGUGUAAACGGCUUUCUGGACCAUAACUGACGCUGAGGCACGAAAGCGUGGGGAGCAAACAGG
rnacentral:rRNA from 1 species